AUGCUGGAGGUAUCAGAAGUGCGAAUGCUGACAUAAGUAACGAUAAAGCGGGUGAAAAGCCCGCUCGCCGGAAGACCAAGGGUUCCUGUCCAACGUUAAUCGGGGCAGGGUGAGUCGACCCCUAAGGCGAGGCCGAAAGGCGUAGUCGAUGGGAAACAGGUUAAUAUUCCUGUACUUGGUGUUACUGCGAAGGGGGGACGGAGAAGGCUAUGUUGGCCGGGCGACGGUUGUCCCGGUUUAAGCGUGUAGGCUGAUUUUCCAGGUAAAUCCGGAAAAUCAAGGCUGAGGCGUGAUGACGAGGCACUACGGUGCUGAAGCAACAAAUGCCCUGCUUCCAGGAAAAGCCUCUAAGCAUCAGGUAACAUCAAAUCGUACCCCAAACCGACACAGGUGGUCAGGUAGAGAAUACCAAGGCGCUUGAGAGAACUCGGGUGAAGGAACUAGGCAAAAUGGUGCCGUAACUUCGGGAGAAGGCACGCUGAUACGUAGGUGAAGUCCCUUGCGCAUGGAGCUGAAAUCAGUCGAAGAUACCAGCUGGCUGCAACUGUUUAUUAAAAACACAGCACUGUGCAAACACGAAAGUGGACGUAUACGGUGUGACGCCUGCCCGGUGCCGGAAGGUUAAUUGAUGGGGUUAGCGGUAACGCGAAGCUCUUGAUCGAAGCCCCGGUAAACGGCGGCCGUAACUAUAACGGUCCUAAGGUAGCGAAAUUCCUUGUCGGGUAAGUUCCGACCUGCACGAAUGGCGUAAUGAUGGCCAGGCUGUCUCCACCCGAGACUCAGUGAAAUUGAACUCGCUGUGAAGAUGCAGUGUACCCGCGGCAAGACGGAAAGACCCCGUGAACCUUUACUAUAGCUUGACACUGAACAUUGAGCCUUGAUGUGUAGGAUAGGUGGGAGGCUUUGAAGUGUGGACGCCAGUCUGCAUGGAGCCGACCUUGAAAUACCACCCUUUAAUGUUUGAUGUUCUAACGUUGGCCCCUAAUCGGGGUUGCGGACAGUGUCUGGUGGGUAGUUUGACUGGGGCGGUCUCCUCCUAAAGAGUAACGGAGGAGCACGAAGGUUGGCUAAUCCUGGUCGGACAUCAGGAGGUUAGUGCAAUGGCAUAAGCCAGCUUGACUGCGAGCGUGACGGCGCGAGCAGGUGCGAAAGCAGGUCAUAGUGAUCCGGUGGUUCUGAAUGGAAGGGCCAUCGCUCAACGGAUAAAAGGUACUCCGGGGAUAACAGGCUGAUACCGCCCAAGAGUUCAUAUCGACGGCGGUGUUUGGCACCUCGAUGUCGGCUCAUCACAUCCUGGGGCUGAAGUAGGUCCCAAGGGUAUGGCUGUUCGCCAUUUAAAGUGGUACGCGAGCUGGGUUUAGAACGUCGUGAGACAGUUCGGUCCCUAUCUGCCGUGGGCGCUGGAGAACUGAGGGGGGCUGCUCCUAGUACGAGAGGACCGGAGUGGACGCAUCACUGGUGUUCGGGUUGUCAUGCCAAUGGCACUGCCCGGUAGCUAAAUGCGGAAGAGAUAAGUGCUGAAAGCAUCUAAGCACGAAACUUGCCCCGAGAUGAGUUCUCCCUGACUCCUUGAGAGUCCUGAAGGAACGUUGAAGACGACGACGUUGAUAGGCCGGGUGUGUAAGCGCAGCGAUGCGUUGAGCUAACCGGUACUAAUGAACCGUGAGGCUUAACCUU
rnacentral:rRNA from 1 species